UGGAGAGGGGGGUGGGGAAGGGGAGGUGAGGGAGGGGGAAUCAUUCCCUUAGGUUAGAACAAUCCUUAGCUCUCUGCAUGGGAAGAGCCUUCAGAGAUCAGCCAGUCCAGGAGUGGCAAAGCACUCAUAAGCUCUAGUGGGAUGAGCCUGCAUGCACCCUGAGAAGAGCAUGCUAGUGUUGGUUGGUAAUGUCUGCUCUGGGCACUGAAUUGGAAUCAGUGGUGUAUACACUGGAAUGUCACGAAUUUGCUUCAGCUGGCACCUUUGCAAAGUAGAACAACGAAGAGUCUAGGGUAGGGUAUCUAGCUAAGGUUUCAACCCUACCCUGCUCUUUUGCAAGAGGGACUUGUGUAGCUGAGGCUGCCCUUGAACUCCUGGUUCUCCUACCUCUACUUCCAAGGUGAUAGGAUUACAGACUUUUGACAACCAUACCCAAACUGGAAUUUCCAAAUUUAACACAGACAAGGGACUUGGGGAAUAUAGUGGAUUUGGGUACCUAGUGUGUGAUAAUGGUCGGUGAGAGAGCAGACAGCCCGCAGCUGUGGAGAAGGUUGUAGCAUGUCACAGACCAGACGUGGGGCAAGUGUUUCCACUGAGUGCUAGCUCACUGGACUUGCCUAGCAUCUGCCUCUGCCUUGUUUAUUUCACUUCUGAUUUCCCCAUCUUGGUCUCCCCAUAGAAGAAUAGGAGGCUCUUUGGAGCAAGAGCUUCCUGUAAACGGAGUCAAAACUACAGUUGAGAGGCGAGAAGACAGGGUGGGGAUGGGGAGAAUAGGCUUGCACAGGGAUGGCACCCGUAUGCAGAGACCCUGGCAGUGUGGACUCUGAAAGGAGGCAGCUAUGGAGGAGCAGGGCAGAGAAGAGCAGGGACCAUUAAGCCAGAGUGUCCUGGCUGGAGGAUGCAAAUGGGACUAGAAGGUCCAGGUACUCAGGACUGGCCCACCUUUAAAGUUGGCUCAUGAGCCUCUGCCCUCUUCCAUUCCUAUGUGGGCUAUCUUCCUCUCCAGUCCAUCUUUCUCUUCUCCAUGUCCUUGUCCGCAUCCAUACCACAGUGCCUCCUGGGUAUAUGGUGAGAAUGGUCCUAUCAGAGUUAAGCCAAGGGGCUGAUUGAAUCUAGAUUAUGGGGCUAAGGCUAGGCAAAGAAAAUAGGCUUCGAGAACACUCUAGAGCAGCUCAACAUCCCACCAGCUUUCUGUAAGAGAAAGUAGGCCUAGAGAGGAGGAGGCUGCCAGUGUCAGUAACCAGGUUAAACAGUCACUGUGAUAUGCCCUCAGACUCUCAUCUUCCUGCAGGAGAGCACUCCCAGAUCCUGCCCACAGAACUGCCCUUCAUCAUGUCUUGUUAGAAAGGCCUCUUCGACCUUACCCCUGGAUAGAUACAGGAUUGGAUCUGGCUCAUCCAUCCAUGAACCACAAGUCACUCAAUAGAAACAGACCCAGUGCCAUCAGCUGAGGGCCUUUCCCUGAUCUCUUAGGGAAAAGGUGUUUUGUUUUCUGCAGAGUUUGCUACUGUAGGAAAUUUAAGUAUGGGCUGCUUAGAGCAUUUGGGGUUCGGCUACCCAGAGAGUAAAGCUAACACAAAUGAGAGCAGACCUGAGUCGAAGAGACAGAUGCCCAGUAACAUUGUCUGAAUGCCCUGAUCCAGAUACGCCUGAAACCUCUCUCUGAGUUUGUUUCCAGUUAUGUGGGAAAAAGCUUAAGCUGUCCUGAUUUGGGUUUCUGUCUCUGUGUCUGUCUGUCUGUAUCUCUGUGUCUGUCUCUGUGCCUCCAUCUCGCUUCCCUGCUCCCCACCCCAGGCUCGCAUGUAGCCCAAGCUGGUCUUAGACCCUCUAUGUAGCUAAGUUUGAUCUGAAGCCCUGCUCCUCCUGCCUCUACUUCCCAAGUAGGGAUUAUAGACAUGUGCCAUCACGCAUCGCAUGGUUUUAUGUGACGCUGUGGCAGGCAAGCGCUGCACCAACUAAGCUACAUCCUCACCCUCUUCACUCGGAUUCCUAACUGUUUACAUGCAAGAGGCUGUAGAUCAGCCUAGAGAAACAGGGAUAGAGAACUUAAAGAGAGAAGUAGCUGGCAAGAUGAGGAUCAAGUCUGAGGAGACAGCAGAGGAGGACGAGAGCUUACUGAAAAGAACACGGGGCCAAGGAGGAUUUUUUUUCAGAGAAGCCUAUCCAAGAUGGGUGUCUCUCCAUGUGAUGAUAGCUGUCCAUUCGAGCCCCAAACCUGUACAGGUGGUAGGACGACAUAGAACAAGAGGAAGACAGUGUCAGCUGGAGUGUAUCUGGUCAGUCAGCACUUGGUUGCAGUUUGCAGAGCAUGUGCUCCUAACCAGUUUCUAAAGAGGAAGGGAAAUAUUCAACAAAUCCCUGCACGCCUCAUACUCAGAAUGUCCCGCUCCUUAUCAGAUGUAACCGGAUUUCUUCCGAUGUACAGUAUACAAAACUCAGCGAUAGACACCAGAGGCCUGGGAAGAACGGAAUGGCCCGGGGUUGCCUCGUUCUGAUGCAUCGUGAGGUGGCCCAGAGAGAUGACCUCAGCACUCCCCUCUGUAACGGCAAAAACCUCCACUGAUUAUGGACUCGACGAAGUGAACUCUGGGGCCCCCAACCAGGGCAUCGUCUGCUGAGACUACCUCUGGAGAUGCCAGGCCAGAUGGGGAUGAUGGGAGGAAAUGGUGCCCAGCACUGAUAAGCCACUCCCUUCCUUUGUCCCAGACGCACUUCAAUGUCUGCUAUGUCUUUGCAUUGGGAAUCCUCAAGGGAGAGACAGAGAACAGACAGACAAACAGGGUGGAGGGGCCUCUUCCUGGUGCCAGGGAGCCUCUUUACCCCUCCCCACCUUUCCUCACUUCCUCUCACUGGGGAACCAUGAAAACCAUAUAAAGAAACCUCAGCUGUAACAAUAAAAUGCAUAUAUGUAAUACAUGUGCACAUAUAAAAUAUUUGUGAAUGUAACCAGUAGAUAACAUUGUUAUUUCCUUCUUUGGUUUACAGUCUGGCCUGUGUCUUCUCAAAGCCACAUAGUAUUACACUUAUUUCCUCCCUGGUUGAUGGCCAUUGAGGUUGCUCCUGAGUUUCUGCUAUUGCAAACAAGAACAUCUAGACACUGCGCAUGUGUGAAUGUUUCUAGAGGAUUCAUUCCUAGAGAAGAGAUUGCUGGCUCAAAAUGCCUAUGAAUUUUUCAUUUUGAAAGAUUGUGCCAAGUUAGAGUGGAGACCUUUUCCCUGUGACGGAGCCUUCCAUCUCUGGGGCUUAACUAGAGAUGAAAGAUAUCUCGGCCAGAAAGAGCACAGGGUUUCCAUUAGACAAGGGCAUGUUCUAGUCCUGGCUCUGCCACCUUCUCGUGUGACUUUGACUAAAUCACUUAAUCUCUGUCUGUCUGUCUGUCUGUCUCCUCUUCUUCCCUCCUUUUGUCCCUCUCUCCCUUGUGUGAUAUAUGUAUGGUGGGCACAUUUUGUAGCACAUAUAUGGAGUUCAGAGGACAACCACAGGUUGGCCCUUUGAAGCAGGAUUUCUUUGUCAUUCACCAUUGCAUAUACCAGGUUAGCUGUCCCAGUACAGAACAGGCUUUUGACCAGCAUAUGUUCUAGUUCCCUAUCUGAACUCUCUAUAUCCACCAUGGCAAACCAGCUCUGGAGAGAGGCUGCCAAAGAUACUUAUUAGUUGUCAUUGCAGAAGUCAGGAUUGCACCAAGGUCUUUUCCCUUCAUGGUCUGUUCAGCUCAGCCACUGCUCAGGAGGAAGGGGUCAAGAGUAGAACAAUGGCUGGGUUUGGUGACAGGGAAUGACCAGAAGCAGUCUACAUAGAGCAUGGAACCCGAACCAGUAAAGGAAGUACAGCAAAGGCCUGAUGUCAGCAGCGGAGGGCAUCAGUGUUAGGAGCCCAAUUCAGAGGGAGGGAUUCGGAGAAGGGGUCUGGAAGUCCUUGGUGACAUGGCAGCAGCAGAUCACCUCCAAAGUCCCCGUGGGGACCCUCAGCUGCAGAUCACUGUACUCUGUAAUCUCCAGGCUUCCUGUGGUAUCAGAUCCAUUGUCUUCUGCCCCUGGCAGUGUAACGGGCCAUGGGACAAGCAGACCAGGCUGCUCUUCCUGGAAGAGAGUGCAAAAACUGCUGGCAUGGGAAUCAGAGGGGUGAUCCAAAAUGGUGGAGCCGAGCAGCUUUGUGAGAGCAGUGCUGGCAAAGUCUCCAGAAGGUGGAGUCGUGAUGGGUGGUGAUCCGUGGGCUUGGCAGUGGGCCUGAGAAGCACGCUCUGAAGCCUGAGUCUGGACAGGUGGUUCUCAUUCCCAGACCCAUCCAGUACAUGCUCUGAGGUUCAGGGGAGUCAUGCAUUCUUUUAAAUAUCAUUUUCUUCCUUGGUAAAUGAAGAUAGCAACCUCCCCGGUGCAUAGCUCCAGAGGCUGGGUGUGGUGGCUUUGCCUGUAGUCGGCACUCAGGAGGCUACGGCAGGAGGAUUUGGAAUCAAGGCCAGUUACAGAAUGAGAUUCUAUCUCAAUUUAAGAAACAAAAACGGAGCUGAGUGGAGUGUGGUGGCUUACAACUGUAAAUCCCAAGACCAGAGAGAGGCUGACAUAUGAGGAAUAUGAAGAAUUCAAAGCCAGCCUGAGCUAUAUAGUAAAUUCUAGGUUAGCAAGAAAUGCAGAGUGAGAUUUUUUGUCUCAAAAACAAAUAAACAAGCAAACAAAGACAAAACAAACAUCCUAAAAGAACCCAGAAAAAUCAGGAAAGUAUAAAGGGGCCUUGUUGGGAGGAAUGGGGGGAGCAAUAGUGAGGGUGGAUUUGAUUGGAGACGUGGGAAAAAUGGGGGAACUCUAAUGGCAGGGGAUUGUGGAAGAGGAAAGUGGGUAAAAUAACAGGAAAAAUGUCUGAAAAAAGUCACAAGUAUCAUACUAUUCCCCAUCUAUCUAAAAGUCCUUGUAAUAGUUGGAGGUUAAUAAUAAACAUACAGAUAACAUUUAAAUGAGCAGUUUGCAUCUGGCCUGACAAUGCUUUCUCUAAGAUCCAGAUACCAUGUAACAAAAACUCCAACACUAGGUGUGAAAAGGCCUUUUCUGAAUUGUUGGUCAGGGUUGUCCAAGAGACUCUCAAAUUGCAUGCCACUGCUAUUGCCCUCAGUUGCCCCCAGAGGAGGAAGGUAAGUCUCUAUUGAUGAAGAGACCAUGCCCUUCAGACACAGAGUUCAGAGACCCCUGAGCUGAGAAUGAUCUGAGUGAAUGCUUCCUCUCUGAGGACUAGUUUUCAUGAUGCCAUUCAAGCUUCCAGUGGAGAAAAGUAUCCAGGUUUAAAAUGUAAAGAAAUAAUGCAAUAUAAAGAAAAAUCUAGCCGGGUGGUGGUGGCGCACGCCUUUAAUCCCAGCACUCGGGAGGCAGAGGCAGGCGGAUUUCUGAGUUCGAGCCCAGCCUGGUCUACCAAGUUACCAAGUGAGUUCCAGGACAGCCAGGGCUAUACAGAGAAACCCUGUCUAGAAAAACCAAAAAAAAAAAAAAAAACAAAACAAAAACCAACCAACCAAACAAACAAAAAAAAGUAUCCAGCUAUCACACCCAUGAUCCACAACAGUAAACACCUGGCACGCAUACCUUAGCAGUAACCAACAACUGUCUAAUUGGACUUAAGACCUACCUGUUUGCAGGGUGGUGGCUCACACCUUUAGUAACUCACCUGCCUUUGUCCUGCUUCUGUACCUGCAAGGGUAGCUGCUCUGCUCUCCAAUCAAAUAGUGAGAUCAUGGUCUUAUUCUUGUAAAAAGUUCAUAAUAUCCUGUCACGCUUGUCAACAGCUACCACAUCUACAUCAACAGAAAGUACCCAACAUAUAGGGGUUGUCUCUAUAAACUUCCUGCUUUACUGACUUGGGGCCACCUCUUUAGACUUGUAGCCACAGGAGAGUGUGCCGUCCCCUCCCCCCUUCCCGUGUGCCUCCCUCCCUUGCCUUGGUCUGUGUGGCUCAAUAAAAAUUCCAAAUUCA